rnacentral:rRNA from 1 species
CUACGGGUCGCUGCAGUGAGGAAUAUUGCACAAUGGGGGGAACCCUGAUGCAGCAACGCCGCGUGGAGGAUGACGCAUUUCGGUGUGUAAACUCCUUUUAUAUGUCAAGAAAAUGACGGUAGCAUAUGAAUAAGCACCGGCUAACUCCGUGCCAGCAGCCGCGGUGAAUACAGGAGGGUGCAAGCGUUACUCGGAAUCACUGGGCGUAAAGGACGCGUAGGCGGGUUGGAAAGUCAGGUGUGAAAUCCUACAGCUUAACUGUAGAACUGCACUUGAAACUUCUAAUCUAGAGUAUGGGAGGGGAAGAUGGAAUUAGUGGUGUAGGGGUAAAAUCCGUAGAUAUCACUAGGAAUACCAAAAGCGAAGGCGAUCUCCUGGAACAUUACUGACGCUAAGGCGUGAAAGCGUGGGGAGCAAACAGGAUUAGAUACCCUGGUAGUC